CCCUGUUUAAUUUUCUUUUAUUGUGGUAAAAUACACAUAAAUAAGAAUUACCAUUUUAAUAAUUUUAAAGUGUGCAAUUCAGUGGCAUUAAGUACAUUCACAAUGUUGUGCAACCACCACCACUAUUUCAUUCUAGAACUUUUUCUUCACUCCAAAAGGAGACCUCAUACCCAUUAAGCAGUCACUUCCUAUUCCUUCUUCCCUCCAACCCCUAGAAGUCACCAGUCUACUUUUCAUCUCUAUGAAUUUACCUAUUCUGGACAUUUCAUAUAAAUGGAGUCAUAUAAUACAUAGCCUUUUGUGAUUGGCUUCUUUCAUUCAGAACAAUGUUUUCAAGGUUCAUCCAUGUUGUGGCAUGUAUCAGAACAGCAUUCCUUUUCAUGGCUGAGUAACAUUCCACUAUACAGAUAUACUACAUUGUAUUUAUCCAUUCCUCUAUCUAUGGACACUUGGGCUGUUUCCAACUUUUGUGAACAGUGCUGCUGUGGACAUUCAUGUACAAGUUAUUGUUUGAUGUGUUUAAUUUUAAAGGGAUAAAUGUAAAGUCCUACCCAGAAGAACAAAACAUAAAUUGCCCAAAUAUAGGAUAGGAUAGGAAAGCUCUGUGAUCGAAGUCUGGACUUUUCCUUCACUCCCAUCCCCAUAGGAACCAGUGGUGCGCUUCAGCUCCUGGGGAAAAAGAUAAACAAACACAGUCAAUGAAGCAUAAUUUGCUCAGUUUGGACCAGAAGCCAGAUGCCCAUUGGCUGUUUCCUGCUGGAGGCAGCAGUCGUUGGCUAUGAUUCCCUCAUUACCAGAAGCUCCAGCCCAUAGCGUCCCGUGCUGAGCAGGCUUGAGCGAGGCAGGACUGCAGGUUCCACAGGACAGACCAGCUCGGUGAGGACGGCGUCACCCCAACCAGAGACACACGCGGAGCCCGCGGUGUUGGGAUUUACGAGCUGUCACCGUUCCUGCUGCGGACAAGCCUUCUUGCUUUUCCCUUUCCUCUCUUCAUUCUUCUGCUUUCUUUUUUUUCUUUUUAAUAACCCCAGCUGCAUAUUUUCUUUAAACCAAACCAUCUGUUUACUAGCUUUUAUAAGCAGUAAUGAAGGCAGCAAAGACCCAAGAGUCCUUUGGGCCCAGGCGCUCUCCCUGGCCGUCUCCAGGCGGCCCAAGGAAGGAGUUAAGCGUCCCAGAGCGGAACGCGGAGGUAACGUGUCCAGCAGGGUCCUUUUCUGCCUGAAGCUGUCUAUUCAGAGCAGCGUCUCCUCUGAGAGUUUCGGUGGAGCUGUGGCUGCCUUUCCAUGGCUCUCUUUUCAGCUGCAUCACAGGACUUUGGGGUCACCUGCCUGUGGCCAGCUGCCUGCUGGAUCAGGAGCCAGUGCGGAGGAACUGGCAAAUGAGGUGGCUGUGUGAUGGGGUCUCACAGGUGCCAACAUCAUCCGAGGGAAUGUACUGAGCUGUGAGCACGGGUGAGCCGGGAAAACAAUUCGACAACACUGCCGAGAGCCUAGGUGACAGAGAAAAAAAGAGGAGUCUGUUUGGGAACAGAUCAUGGCCUCCACUUCCAAGGCAUUAGUAAUGCAAGCAGCAGCGAGUGUAAUAUUUACUUGGGAAACUAUGAAAAGUCGUAUAACAAUGUUCUUUUC
rnacentral:lncRNA from 1 species